GUCUACUGCCAUGCCAUCCUGAACAUGCCCAAUCUCGUCUGAUCUCGGAAGCUAAGCAGGGUCAGGCCUGGUUAGUACUUGGAUGGGAGACCACCUUGGAAUACCAGGUGCUGUAGGUG
rnacentral:rRNA from 1 species